rnacentral:rRNA from 1 species
AGUCUGGUGUAAAAGGCAGUGGCUCAACCAUUGUAUGCAUUGGAAACUGGUAGACUUGAGUGCAGGAGAGGAGAGUGGAAUUCCAUGUGUAGCGGUGAAAUGCGUAGAUAUAUGGAGGAACACCGGUGGCGAAAGCGGCUCUCUGGCCUGUAACUGACACUGAGGCUCGAAAGCGUGGGGAGCAAACAGGAUUAGA